ensembl:snoRNA
UGGACCAGUGAUGAUAUCUACCAGUGUAUGAGUGUCAUGUGAUGAGUAAAAUCUGCCUGCAAUUCAGAGGUCCAG